rnacentral:sRNA from 12 species
CGCAGGCAAGCGCAAGGCUUGUAGAGGUCGCUGGUAACAGCGACAGCCCGCACGGGUGGGAUCCUCGAACUUGGGGCCUGCACUACU